GACGUAGGGCGCGAGCGUUGUCCGGAUUUAUUGGGCGUAAAGAGCUCGUAGGCGGCUUGUCGCGUCGACUGUGAAAUCCCGUGGCUCAACUGCGGGUCUGCAGUCGAUACGGGCAGGCUAGAGUUCGGUAGGGGAGACUGGAAUUCCUGGUGUAGCGGUGAAAUGCGCAGAUAUCAGGAGGAACACCGAUGGCGAAGGCAGGUCUCUGGGCCACUACUGACGCUGAGAAGCGAAAGCGUGGGGAGCGAACAGG
rnacentral:rRNA from 1 species